rnacentral:tRNA from 1 species
CGGGGUGUAGCUCAGUUUGGGUAGAGUGCGCGCCUGGGAGGUGUGUGGUCGCUGGUUCGAAUCCAGUCACCCCGA